ACUGGCACAGAAAUUUCUGGAACUCCUUACUCCAACAUUCUGUCCUGUUGAAGAAUAAUCAUCGAAAAUAUCUUACCUAUUUCUUAAAUAUCUGCAAAGAUAAAAGAUUCUUCAGUUUUAAGACAAAUAUCAACUUUUUUUUUGCUCCAUUCAGAGGAAUAUUGCUUUGCAUAAUUGAUGCCACCAUUUAUACUGGUACCAAAUUCUCAAUAUUGCAACCACAAGUAAAACUAUCAAUAGUUGGGCAGGCAGCAACCAAAUAUAGCAAAUAUUCUUCCUUCAUGUGAAUGCUUAUUGGCAAGAGCCAAGACCAGAGGAAGACAUCAAGAUAUUACUCUAAUACUAUGCAGCAGUUAAACAAAGAAGCUCUUUAAAAAGAGAGGAAUGGACACUGAUCCUUCACUCUAAUUCAUCUAAUAAACAUUAAAAGUAAAGGCAGUGGGGCAGCUGGGUGGCUCAGUGAAUUGAGAGCCAGGCCUAGAAAUGAGAGGUCCUGGGUUCAAAUCUGUUAUCAGAUACUUCCUAGCUGUGUGUUCCUAGGCAAGUCAUUUGACCCCCAUUACCUUGCCCUUACCACUCUUCUGCUUUGAACCAAUACAUAGUAUUGGUUCUAAGACAGAAGGUAAGGACUUAAAAGGGUAAAAAAAAAAAGCAAAGGCAGCUUUUUAAGCCUUUCCAUCUAUUAUAAGUCAUAUAAAUACUAUAUACAGAUAAAAGGACUAAGAUUUAGUCUGUUGUUUUCAUGUUGAUCAUUUUUGUGCUUUUAUCAUAUGCUUCAUGGUUGCUACAAAAUCAAUCUUCUUCCAAGUGGUAAUAUGUUAUUUUCCUUUCCUAUCCUAGGAAAAAGGAAAGAAGUACCCACUCUCACAAUGGACAUAUUGUAGACUCAUAAGUGUGUGGGGGGAAGCAAAACCUCAACAAUCAGAUUAAGACUUCAGAUGUGAGCCCACAUUCACACCUUUGUCACUAAGUUCAAGAUGCAAUUGUAGAUGCCAUGCAACAUGAAGGUUUAUUAAAUUUGUUUCACAAACAUAAGAUUGUUUCAAAUACCUUUAGUUCAAUUUAGGUCAGGAAGCCUAGCUGAUAUUACAGGAAAUGAACCUUAGAACAAUGUUUCUCAGUUACUAUGUGCCAGGUUUGUUUUAUGUCCCCUUCUUGUAUCAUUGCAGAUUCUCAUUUGAUGGCAUGAUCUUACUAUGUGCUGGUUUAUAUAUGUUCUCCCAUCCAGAGGUUAUUGGUUGACUACAUAGUCAAAUCCAAUCAUCUCAUUGUUAUCAUAAAAAUUUAUUGAACAUCCAUAGGAAUAAAUGGAGCUAUACUAAAUGCAAUAAGAGUUUAGAACAAGUAGAGACAUUGUACGUGUUUUCAAGGAGACAGUCAAUUGGGAAGAGUAAAAGCAAAUUCAUUUGCAUGUAAGAAAUUAGUCCUCAUACAUAUAAACUACUGUAGUUGGAAAUCUUGGUGCUUGACACUUGAAGACUUCCUGGGAAAAAAAGAAACUAACAUGAAGUCUUAUCCUUUAUCAGUUUUUAAAAUGUGUAGAAGAGAACUCAGAGAAGUUCAAAAGGAAGUACGAAAAAGCAGGGCAGUUUUGAAAGUAAUGUGUAGGAUUUGUGGUAGUCUUUUUUUUUUUUGUUAGAGCAAGAGGUAUAAAAUGGAAAUUCACAAUUUUAUAUAGAAUUCCAUUUUUUCUUUCUGCUGUGUGCAUGAAAAUGUGCAUUUCGUUACUAAGAUUUUUGAAAAAUGAAAAACCACUAGUCUUAAAGAACAAUUGCAUGAUGGCAAAUGGGAGGUAGCUAAUAACUUGAUAGCUUCAAUAACGUAAUAAAAUCUAGGGAAAUCUAUGCAUAGGGAUGGCAAGUUCAUUUUCUUAGGAACAACAGAGCAGGAAGAAGUGUAUCAGAAGAUGAGAAUUAUUUGAUUUCCAAAGGUUAGCUAAUAGAUGAAUUUUCAUCAGAAAAUAGAAUUUAAUCCAGAACAGGGCUCCUUAACCUGGUGUCCAUGAACUUUAAAAAAUAUUUUUAUAUUUCAUUAUAAUUCAUUUCUUUUAUUAUCCUAUAUAUCCUUUAUCUCACCACUUGUGUUUUACAGUGAUUGGAAGUGCUGGACAUGGAGUUGGGAUGACUUGUUUUCAAAUGCUGCAUCAGACUCCUAUUAGCUGUAUGAUCUUAGAGUGAAGAAUCAGAAGAAAUAUUCUCAAAUAGAUAGCUUCAACGAAGGUGGGUAAAGAGUCAUACUUCAAGGACAAAAUAACCAACUUCAUUCAGGUAAACAUGGCGGCAGUCUAGACACAAGACUCAUCCUCUCCUCAGCACCCACCGAUAUAGACUGCCUCAAAAGACCAAGAAAACCAAAUUCAUAAGAACAAAGGAACUCUACAGUUGGGUGCAGCAUUGAAGGUACAUGGGAUUUGGGUAUUUCCACACUUAUAAGGGGGUGAAAAAGCUCCCACCAAAACUGCAAGCUGAUCUACUUUCCCCUACCCCACCUACGGAGCCAGUGUCAGAGCCAGCGUGUGCCAGAAUCAGUGAGCGAGGAGCACCUCUAGAGUGAGUAAGGUGCACCUCUAGGUCCUUGGGAGCUGACUAAGACCACCAAAGACCUACCCCUAAGAGCAGCUACACCUGAAAUCCCAGCAGGCUGAAGAGUGCGGACCAUGGGUGCUUGUGGGAAAAUAGCACAGAGAAGGGCAGCAAACAGCAGAAGCUGCAGAGAUUUGAGAGCUUGCCUCAGGCAAAAUCCUUGCUCCUUAGCUCCAUACACAGAGAGCCUGCCCAUCUCACUCAGAUUUCUGACUAAAAAGGGAAGGAAAAACCUCCACAGUGAUGGCAAAUUGUACCCAGGAGCAACAACCUCCCUCCAAGAAAAACAGGAAGAAGGGGUUGACCUUGGAAAAUUUUUGUGGAGGAAAAACCCAGGCUACCGCAGAAAUACAGGACAAAAUUCAAAUAAACUCAAAACCUUCCCAAAAAAAUGGAAAUUGUCCCCAAGCUCUCAAAGAAUUUAAAUAGAAGCUUAUAAAAAAAGAUGGAAGCCUUCUGGCAAGAAAAGUAGGAAAUAGUUCAAAGAGAAAAUAACAAUUUAAAGGACAAGAACUCCCAAUUGGAGAAAUAGCUGGAAGCCACGAAAAGCAGGAUAGACCAAACUGAAAAGGAAAAUCAAAAGAUUAUAGCAGAAAAUCAGUCCUUAAAGACCAGAAUUAGGCAACUGGAAGACAAUUAUCUUGCAAAACAGCAAGAAUUAAUAAAGCAAAGUCAAAAGACUGACAACAUAGAAGAAAGCAUAAAAUAUCUCACUGACAAGAUGACAGAUCAGGAAAAAAGAUCACGAUGAGACAAUUUGAGAAUCAUUGGUCCACCUGAAAAGCCAGAAAUCUUGACAUCAAACUACAAGAAAUCAUCCAAGAAAACUGCCCUGAUAUUCUUGAACAAGGGGGCAAAAUAGACAUUGAAAGAGUUCAUAGAAUACCCUCUACACUAAAUGCUCAAAAGACAACUCCCAGGAAUAUAAUUGCCAAAUUCAAGAGCUUUAAAGCUAAGGAGAAAAAUCUACAAGAAGCUAAAAAGAGACAGUUUAGAUACCAAGGAGCACCAAUCAGGAUCACACAAGACCUGGCAACUUCCAUACUAAAGGACUGCAAGGCUUGGAACAUGAUAUUCAGAAAGGCAAGAGAACUUGGUCUUCAACCAAGAAUCACCUAUCCAUCAAAACUGACUAUAUACUUCCAGGGAAAAGUAUGGGCAUUUAACAAAAUAGAAGAUUUCCAAGUAUUUGUAAAGAAAAGACCAGAACUAAGUGGAAAGUUUGAUAUCCAAACACAAAGAUCAAGAGAAACAUGAAAAGAGAAGACCAAUGACAUUACAGCAUAAUGGUUUGACUUGCAAGAGAAUGGAUUAAAGUGAGGUAGAGUUGCAUGAAGUCAUCAGUCCUCACUUUCCCUUCCAGAGCCACGGAAAUCUAGUGGUAAAAAUGGAAGUCAAGAUGAAUGACAAGGGAUUCAAUCUUGGUAUCUUCAAUAUCUGACAGCACCUGCUUCAGCCUCCUUCAUCGCAGUUGGAACUUCAGAGAGCAACACCAUUCUCCCAGACCCUGAGCCUAGCAACCUAGGAAUCCUAUGUUCCUCAUGGUCUCCACCCCAUUCCUCCAAAGUCCAGGCCUUUGCUAAAACCUGUCCCUUUCACCUUUGAAGCAUCUCAUGAUUAUGCCCCUUUCUCUCCUCUGAUGCUGCUCUCACUCUAGUACAGGCUUUCAUGCCUCAUGCCUGGACUGACACCAAAUGGAAAAUGGUAAGACCUUCCUAACUCCAGUCUUUCCCCAGUCCAGUUUACCCUCCAUUCAGUCAUUGACAAGAUAUAACUAAAGUGCUGAUCUGAUUAUACUUAUCCCCAACUCAAUAAAUUCCAAUGGUUUCCUAUUGCCUCCAGGACAAAAUAUGACAUGCUCUGUUUGGCAUUCAAAGCCCUUCAUAACCCAUUCCCCUCCUGCCUUCUCAGCUUUCUUGUACCUUACUCCUAAUAUAUACUCUUUGAUCCAAUGGCUGGCUUCCUGACUCUUCCAUGCAUAAGACAUUCCAUUCCUUAGCUCUGGGCAUUUUCUCUGUCCCUCAUGCCAGGAAUGCUGUCCCCUUUCUGGCUUUCUUUCAGUCCCAGCUAAAAUUUUGCCUAGUGUAGGAAGCCCUCCCUAACUCCUCUUAAUUCCUAUGCCUUCCUGUUAAUUAUUUCCUCUUUCUCUUGUAUAGAACUUUCUUUGUGCAUUUUUGUUUGUAUGUUGUAUCCCCAAUUUGAUUGUAAGCUUUUUAAAGGCAGGGACUGGCUUUUGACUUUUUUUGUGUGUUCCCAGUGCUUAGCACAGUGCCUGGCAAAUAGUAGGCACUUAAUAAAUGUUUAUUGAUAAUCUCAGACAGGACAAAGCAAGAGAUAAGCAAGAAAGGUACAUUUUGCUGAAAGCUGCCCUACACCCAAGAUGGUGAACCUAUGGUACCUGUGCCAAAAAGGAUACACAGAGCACUCUCUAUUGUCACACAUGCCACCCCUCCACCAGAGUUCAUUACUAGAAAGGAAGAGGGACUCUGGGCAGAACUGCUCCUUUUCCCCUGUCCACAAUAUCUGAUGACAUUUUUUCAUA